AGUGAACGCUGGCGGUAGGCCUAACACAUGCAAGUCGAACGGCAGCACAGUAAGAGCUUGCUCUUACGGGUGGCGAGUGGCGGACGGGUGAGGAAUACAUCGGAAUCUACUUUUUCGUGGGGGAUAACGUAGGGAAACUUACGCUAAUACCUCAUACGACCUACGGGUUAAAGCAGGGGAUCUUCGGACCUUGCGCGAUUGAAUGAGCCGACGGCGGAUUAGCGAGUGGGCGGGGUAAAGGCCCACCAAGGCGACGAUCCGUAGCUGGUCCGAGAGGGGGAUAGGCAAUAGUGGGAAGGAGACAAGGCCCAGACUCCGAAGGGAGGAAGAAGUAGGGAAUAGUGGGGAAUGGAUGAAAGUAUGAACGAGCAACGCCGAGGGAGUGAAGAAGGCGUGCGGAGCGUAAAAAUCUGGUGGGAGAGAAGAACAAGGACGGAAGGAACUGAACGUGCCCUGACGGGAGCUAAUCAGAAAGCCAAGGCUAACUACGGG
rnacentral:rRNA from 1 species